AUUGAACGCUGGCGGCAUGCCUUACACAUGCAAGUCGAACGGCAGCACGGGUGCUUGCACCUGGUGGCGAGUGGCGAACGGGUGAGUAAUACAUCGGAACGUACCUUAUCGUGGGGGAUAACGCAGCGAAAGCUGUGCUAAUACCGCAUACGCCCUGAGGGGGAAAGCGGGGGAUCGAAAGACCUCGCGCGAUUAGAGCGGCCGAUGCCUGAUUAGCUUGUUGGUGGGGUAAAAGCCCACCAAGGCGACGAUCAGUAGCUGGUCUGAGAGGACGAACAGCCACACUGGGACUGAGACACGGCCCAGACUCCUACGGGAGGCAGCAGUGGGGAAUUUUGGACAAUGGGGGCAACCCUGAUCCAGCAAUGCCGCGUGAGUGAAGAAGGCCUUCGGGUUGUAAAGCUCUUUUGUCAGGGAAGAAACACCGGCUCUAACACAGUCCGGGAAUGACGGUACCUGAAGAAUAAGCACCGGCUAUCUACGUGCCAGCAGCCGCCGUAAGAC
rnacentral:rRNA from 1 species